GAUGGCUAAUGGUUACAUAAUGUCAAAUUUACCGGGAUUAUUUAAAUUCGUGUUCGUAUAUGUUUACUUGUCUUUGCAAUCAUUUAUGAGAUGAUGUUCAUAUUUUCACUGACUGAAUACAUAGUUAUGUGCAAUUGUGCAGACGUAUGCAAAGAACUGUUAUGUUCUUAACCUAUCAAAGACAUUUACGAAAAGUCUCUGUAAUUGGGAACGAAAACGAACGUGAUCGAAUCAUACUGAUUCAAAACUAGCAGUUCUAAUCAUCACCAUCGCUAGGCGAGUAACAAAACUUAUGAUAUAGAUGCAUAAGAGUCUAUUGAACAUUUCCUUGAUGAUGAUGUUUCAAAUGCAGUAGAAUUCCAAUUUAUCCAGCAUAUUGUACAAGAACUUAAUUCUUUGAAACAUUAAAAUGUAUCUGUAUUGUAUUCUUCAUAUUAAGUUAACGUAUAUAAAGAUGAUGUAACCAAAGUAAUUAUAUCGGGGACACAGUAAACUGACGAAAGGUAUUUUAUUCUCUAACUAAUAAGUGUAAAGAAAUCUAAAUGCAUUAAGUGUAAUGUCAAUGUAAAUAAAUAGCUUUUCUCUAAACA